UUUAACAAACUUAUAGGCCCACGGAGAUGAGACCGCGACGGGCGCGGCGGCGCCGGCUCCCCGCAUUCCGGCGGCCGGGCACCGCGUCGCCGCCCCUCCCCUCCCCUCUCCUCCUCGACUGGGAACCCGUGCAGAACUGCAGAUCGGUGACCUGCCCUACGUCUUCGCCAGUUCAUGUUAGAAUCGCCGGCGCCGCCGCCCCUGGCGCCAGGAGGUGCCCUCGGGCUAACUCCUUGCCUCUCCUCGGACACAGCCACCGCCCGCCCCUCUGCCAUUCAGCUCCACUUCCCUCGCGGAUGAGUAUCCGUUUUAGCCGAGUAGAUUGGCUUUUGAUGGCAUCACGGCCUUUCGGGGUAUUCAAACUCAUGAAGCUAGACAUGGUUGCAUGUUAGUUAGAACAAAUAGGAUGGACAAAUAAUAAAGUUAUUUUGGGAUGGAAGGAGUAGAUGUGUUUGUGUAGGGUGCUGCCCUUUAAAGUUACAAGGAUACAUCUACAUGCGCUGUUGCUUCCAUCAGAUUGGUUCAUCCAGCUAUGUCUAUCCAUAGCAGAAGUGCCUUUGGCUCCAUAUUAUCUGCUUCUCGAAGAUUUGUCCUAAAGAUCACUGGUCCAGACAUUGGUAUAUAAAAAGGUAGUUGUAGUGCUUCCAAGGCGGUGGAACCGUGGAAGGGGCUGUAUGCUCUCAAAGCGUCCAAGUACGUGCCGUCGACUUGGUGGCGGAAAUGCGUCUCGAUGCAAUGAACCUACUUUUGCAGCCGAUCGCCUGCCAGUUACCAUCAUCGAACCACGGGUCCUGUUUAUUUUAAUUUUUUGGUGGUUGCUGCAUGAGCAUGACUAGCCAUUACGCAACGAGCAUUGGUUCGUGGCGAUUUUUGCACCUGGACUGCAAUUUGGAUCAAGUUCAAGCAUAUUUUGAUGAUCAUUACAAGUAGCGUUUGUAGUUGUGUGAAUGGAUGGCGUGGGUGGAGUCCAAAGUAAGAAACAAGACAACAUUAGCUGAUGAUGUUGCCAACGGCCAAGCAAAGAAGUGGGUGACGAUAUAC